rnacentral:rRNA from 1 species
GACGAACGCUGGCGGCGUGCUUAACACAUGCAAGUCGAACGAAGUGGCGAACGGGUGAGUAACGCGUAAUCAACCUGCCCUUCAGCGGGGGACACCAGUUGGAAACGACUGCUAAUACCGCAUCCUGAAUGAGGGGAUUGCGUCUGAUUAGCUCGCUGGAGGGGGAACGGCCCACCAAGGCGAGGAUCAGUAGCCGGUCUGGGAGGGUGAACGGCAACAAUGGGACUGAGACACGGCCCAGACUCCUACGGGAGGCAGCAGUGGGGAAUCGUCCGCAAUGGACGAAAGUCUGACGGAGCAACGCCGCGUGAGUGAUGACGGCCUUCGGGUUGUAAAGCUCUGUUAAUCGGGACGCGGUACCGGAAUAGAAAGCCACGGCUAACUACGUGCCAGCAGCCGCGGUAAUUC